CAGGACGAAGUCAGGGACACCUCUAGGACAGAGGCUUAAAGGAUUUGCUUCAGGACGAAGUCAGGGACACCUCUAGGACAGAGGCUCAAAGGAUUCACUUCAGGAUGAAGUCAGGGACACCUUCAGGAUUGAAGAGAGAGUUGAAACUGGAUUAUUCAACGGGUCAGGGAAUACCGUAGGACACUCUAGGAUAGAGUGGGGAAUUAUGCUUUAGGAAGAAGUACAUCAUGGAAUGAUGCAGGGAGCAUGGUAGUAGCAGGAUUGCUGCAAGUGAGAUCUAAAGGCGUGACGAAAGUCACGCCUUUUCUUGUUGU
rnacentral:other from 1 species